rnacentral:rRNA from 1 species
CUGCAUGGCUGUCGUCAGCUCGUGUCGUGAGAUGUUCGGUUAAGUCCGCUAACGAGCGCAACCCUCACUGUGUGUUAUAUGUGUCACACGGGACUGCCGGUUUUAAGCGGAGGAGGUGGGAUGACGUCAGGUCAGCAUGGCCUUUAUAUCCUGGGCUACACACACGCUACAAUGGUCGGUACAAUAGGUUGCCAAGCCGCGAGGCGGAGCCAAUCCACAAAGCCGGCCUCAGUUCAGAUUGUAGGCUGCAACUCGCCUGCAUGAAGAUGGAGUUGCUAGUAACCGCAGGUCAGCAAUACUGCGGUGAAUACGUUCCCGGGUCUU